GACGAACGCUGGCGGCGUGCUUGACACAUGCAAGUCGAACGGAAAGGCCUGCUUUCCCUUGUGGAUUGCGGGUACUCGAGUGGCGAACGGGUGAGUAACACGUGAGUGAUCUGCCCCCAACUUGGGUAUAAGCCUGGGAAACUGGGUCUAAUUCCCGAUAGGACUGCAGGGUGGUGCCUGUGGUGGAAAACGAUUUUCUAGUGGUUGGGGAUGAGCUCGCGGCCUAUCAGCUUGUUGGUGGGGUAAUGGCCUACCAAGGCGGCGACGGGUAGCCGGCGUGGGAGGGUGGACGGCCACAUUGGGACUGAGACACGGCCCAGACGCCUACGGGAGGCAGCAGUGGGGAAGAGUGGACAAUGGGCGGAAGCCUGAUGCAGCGACGCCGCGUGGGGGAUGACGGCCUUCGGGUUGUAAACUCCUUUCGACCGCGAGGAAGCCACCUGGUUGGAAGGGUGGUGACGGUAGUGGUAGAAGAAGCCCCGGCUAACUACGUG
rnacentral:rRNA from 1 species